rnacentral:misc_RNA from 1 species
GAUGAAGAACGUAGCGAAAUGCGAUAAGUAAUGCGAAUUGCAGAUCUCCGUGAGUCAUUGAAUCUUUGAACGCACAUUGCGCCCUUUGGCAUUCCGAAGGGCACACCUGUCCGAGCGCCGUCGCACAACUGAGGCGCAGCCUUGCGUUGGCGGGCGACUUGUGAGUAGCGAGUCGCCGCCCAAACGAGACGGCGCCGCGCCGCGGCCGACGAAGCACGAAAGCGGAAGUCGACGCGGAGGCGGUUGCCUGUAGGAAGACACAGCUUGGCCUCGGAUCAGGUGGGGAUACCCGCUGAACUUAAGCAUAUCAAUAAGCGGAGGA